rnacentral:rRNA from 1 species
GAUCCUGGCUCAGAAUGAACGUUGGCGGCGUGGAUUAGGCAUGCGAGUCGUGCGAGAACCGUAGCAAUACGGGGACAGCGGCGAAAGGGAGAGGAACACGUGGAUACCUACCCUCAGGUUCAGGAUAGCUAUGGGAAACUAUAGGUAAUACUGAAUAAUAUCUCCGGAUCAAAGGUGUGAUUCCGCCGGAGGAGGGGUCCGCGUCCUAUUAGCUAGUUGGUGAGGUAAUGGCUCACCAAGGCGAAGAUGGGUACGGGAUGUGAGAACAUGAUCCCGCUCAUUGGGACUGAGACACUGCCCAGACACCUACGGGUGGCUGCAGUCGAGAAUCUUCGGCAAUGGGGGAAACCCUGACCGAGCGACGCCGCGUGUGAGAUGAAGGCCUUCGGGUUGUAAAUCACUGUCGUAGAGGAGGAAGUGUAGGUGGGUUCUCCCACUUAUUUGACCUAUUCUAGGAGGAAGGACGGGCUAAGUUCGUG